rnacentral:rRNA from 1 species
UAGGGAAUCUUCCGCAAUGGACGCAAGUCUGACGGAGCAACGCCGCGUGAGUGAAGAAGGAUUUCGGUUCGUAAAACUCUGUUGUUAGAGAAGAACAGCGCAUAGAGUAACUGUUAUGCGUGUGACGGUAUCUAACCAGAAAGCCACGGCUAACUACGUGCCAGCAGCCGCGGUAAUACGUAGGUGGCAAGCGUUGUCCGGAUUUAUUGGGCGUAAAGCGAGCGCAGGCGGUCAAUUAAGUCUGAUGUGAAAGCCCCCGGCCCAACCGGGGAGGGUCAUUGGAGACUGGUUGACUUGAGUGCAGAAGAGGAGAGUGGAAUUCCAUGUGUAGCGGUGAAAUGCGUAGAUAUAUGGAGGAACACCAGUGGCGAAGGCGACUCUCUGGUCUGUAACUGACGCUGAGGUUCGAAAACGUGGGUAGCAAACAGG